rnacentral:rRNA from 1 species
GGCUGAAGUAGGUCCCAAGGGUAUGGCUGUUCGCCAUUUAAAGUGGUACGCGAGCUGGGUUUAGAACGUCGUGAGACAGUUCGGUCCCUAUCUGCCGUGGGCGCUGGAGAAUUGAGGGGGGCUGCUCCUAGUACGAGAGGACCGGAGUGGACGCAUCACUGGUGUUCGGGUUGUCAUGCCAAUGGCACUGCCCGGUAGCUAAAUGCGGAAGAGAUAAGUGCUGAAAGCAUCUAAGCACGAAACUUGCCCCGAGAUGAGUUCUCCCUGAGACUUUAAGUCUCCUGAAGGAACGUUGAAGACGACGACGUUGAUAGGUCGGGUGUGUAAGCGCAGCGAUGCGUUGAGCUAACCGAUACUAAUGAACCGUGAGGCUUAACCUU